CACCAUUCGUUGAUAGGGUCAGUACAUCAUACAUGUGUUCACAGAGAGUUGGCGGUUGGUGCAAGCCAAUGAACAUCGUAUGAUAGAAUAUCCCCCUGGAGAAGCGAGGCUGAACCAUAAUGCAGUAAGCCGAGCCGGAUUGCCAACCGUUACAGAGGCACCGCAUCAUUUGUGCGGAUCUAAGGUGUCACUUUGCCUUGUACCCAAAGGAAAACAGUACCUAUAACUGGUUUUCGUUUGAGUGGGUACGAUGAAGGAUUGAAGUGAAACAAGGGUGGUAACGCGAGCAACCUCGUCCCUUUC
rnacentral:ncRNA from 1 species